CAAUUGUUCCUGAGUUAAAGGAUGCGAAUGAUGUAAGAUGUAUUUGGUCGUUUCAUAUCUGUUAGAUAAGAAACUGAUUAUUGCAGAGGAGACAGAGUGGAUGCCUAAUUUCCUGAAGUUAAGUCCAUAAAGAGGGUAGAUUUUGUGCCUUAAAAUGCCCAGCUUACAAAAUUCCAUCUCUGAAAACCGAACUCGAACCAAGGGGCUUCGCCACCGUGGAAGGAGGAGGAGACAAGAGUUGAUCUCCAGUGGUGAGAGACAAAUCUUGGCUCCAGAAGGAUCCCCUUGUGUUGUCCUGGGCAGGAAACUGGAGGUGAAAUGUCCCCACCAGCCCCAGCCCUUCCUCUGGGCUGGAGAAUUCUUCAACCUCCAGCACUGACAUGAAUUUCAGCAGCUUUGGCUUCACCUCAAAGGAAAAGGAGCUGCAGCUGGAUAGGAGAUGGACCUGGGUCAAAACCUACAAAAAGACCUUCUUUUGGGAGCAAUAGACUUUCAGGGAGGUUGUGUACUUUGGAAGUCUUCAGAAAAGGAAAAAAAACAAACUUUAUGAGAGAAAACAAGGAAUGGAACAACAGGAAACAAGGGAGGUUUUCAAGGUUCACUUCCCCAAAUAUCAAAGAGUGCCCUUAAAGGAUCAUUUCUGGCUUUGCCUCUUGACAUCUUUUACGAUCAGAUUUCAGCAAUUUCAAAUUUCAGCAGCCUCUCGAAAAUAAAUUUUAAAAACAGAAAGGAAAGAAGACAAGAAGAAAGCUUUGUGAAUGCUGCAGCUGAAUGUCCCCAUCACAGGGAGCAGACACAGGGUGAGAACCCAGGAUGGGAAAGAGAAAUCCAGGGCGAAACCGGCAAAAUGGGACAGUGCCCAUGAGCUGACCUGCAAAAUAACUGCAACUCAGGCACAGGCUGAGGUGCCCAGACAAAGAACAAUAAAUACAUAAAUCAUGUCAAAGCACAGGCAAUCCCUCUGCAAUAAAACAGGAGAGCUGAAUGCAGGCUAAAGAAAUCUGAAAAAAUGAAAUCUGGGAUGAGGAGGGGCGAGGCCGAAAAGGACGUUCAAUAGGAAGGCGAAAGCAAAAUAUUUCUAUUGCACAUCAGCACAUGUUGUCCUCUCUCUGCAGAGGACACAAAGACACAACUGUAGGUGUGUCAGGAUCCCACAGCGUUUUGGAGGAGCAGAUUUUGGAGCUCAGGGGCAGCACUCACACCUCAGUGACCUCCAAGGAAGAAGCACAGCACCACUCCUGGCCUGCAGAAAAACAACCCGAAGUGGUUUCAGCGUGCCAGCAGCCCCACACAGGGAGGUGUUUUCAGUCCCAGGGGUUGGGGGGCUGUUCCUGCCACUGCACAGGGUUCCCACAGCUCAUCCAUGCCUGGAGAUCUCCAGCUCUGAGCAGAGCCCUGCCCACUGCUGUUGGAUAAUUUAUUUUUUUUUCUGAUCUAGAGGUGGGGUGACUGAGAGGUGUUUUAAAAUCUUUUGUUUUAUUUUUAGUUUUGUGAGGGGUGAGAUAAUCUAGAUGUUAUCAUUUAUGUUACUAUAAUUAGAAGGUGUUUUGUCAUUCAUAAAAAGACUUCUAAUUCCUAGAAAUUACUCCACGACCUAAAGAAGAUCAACAAGAUCAUAGAAAACAUAAAGCCUCUACAACCUAGACUUCCCUCUCUUUCAAUAAUCCAAAAAAACUGCUGUCAUCAACUUAAAAAAUUAUUUUUUCAACACUCCAUCCAGAAGAUUCUCCUCAAUUUACCUUUUCACUUCCAACCACCACCCUGCAAGGCUCAGUUUGUGCUCCACGGCUCCAUGAAGUACAAAUGUCCUGUUGGGAGAGGAGGGUGCUGCUGCCUCCAGCCCUGAUUUCAGCCCUGGCUGCCUUCCAGGAGCUCCCAGAGCUUCCCAAGGCACGGGCAGCCCUGCUUGCAUCUGCUUCCCUCUGCUCUAGCUGCAGGCAGACUCACACACUGAUAUUUUCUGGGGUUUUUUGCUUUUAAAAGAGGUUUGGACAAGCUUUUGGGAGAUUUUCUCAGGGCCCUUCUCCUCUGUCUCAAAGGAGCUUGGGGAGUGAUCGCUGCAAAUGAAUUUGAUGAAGAGAAGCUUCUCUGUUUGCCUUGGUCAGGGCUGGGGCAAAGGCAGCAUCUGGGCUUGGGGGGAAGCAUCUGUCUGCAAAAACUGCCAGCAGAGCCAGGGACCUCUUGUUUCUGGACACAGAGACAAAAAAAACCCCACCUGGACUGCCCAAAGCAAAAAAAAACCCACCUGGACUGCCCAGACCAAAAAAAAAACCCAACCUGGACUGCCCAAAAUAAAAAAUCCCCACCUGGACUGCCCAAAAUAAAAAAUCCCCACCUGGACUGCCCAAAAUAAAAAGUCCCAAGAGAGUAAAAUCUCUCCCUGGACUGCCCAAAGCCAUGGCCAAGGCCAAGCUUUGGGGCCAGCCCUUUGUCCCGUGCAUUUCUGGGAAUUCAGCUGCCAAGGUGCAAUCCCAGCAUUGCAAUAGUCAUCAUUUCUUUGCUUUCUUUCCACUGCAAAGACACUUUCUUCACGCUCCUGGUGCUCCUGCCCAUGAUUAAUACAACAAUUAAGGUCAUCAUUAAAGCAAUCAAUGCAACAAGGGCUCUGCUCCUCAGCCAGCACCUGGAAAAUGUCCCUGGUGCCUCCUUAUCUGGGAACCCAACUCAGCUUUCUCCACAUCCAGAGUGCUGCAAUCGUCCCUUUCCAGCCAAAUAAAAGUAUUUCAAUAUCUGCCUUUUACAAAUAAUUAUCUGACAGCACGAGAUUAUUGAAAGGUAGAUGAGAAAAUGAAAACCUGAAGGUGGGUGAGAUGACAGAAUUAGAGCUGGGUUGGGUUGAAAGGAACCUUCAGGUGCUAAAGUAUUUGGAGGAUGUGCAUGGAAUUAUAAGGUUGGACAUGGUUUAGGUUCUUAAAUAAAGGGAGGGACAGAUAUUAGGACAAUUUUGUAUUUUCAACAAGACAGGAGGACCCUUUAAACUGGAAUGCCAAUGAGCUGAGGAGUCCAAGUCCAGAGUGGGGCAGGGAUCAUCCCAGCUUCCUAUUCCUCACCAUGCCAUGAAAUUAAAAAAUCCCUUAAGUUUUGUUCUGGGCUCUCUCCACAGCGUGCCCUCAUGCUCUGGUAAAGCAAUGGAAUCACACCCCAAAUAUUGGCAGCUCCCAGGUUUGUUUUUCCCAAA